UACUAAAAUCUAAAUCCCUAAUUUUAGUACAACCCCCACUCAUUCCUUCGGCAUUCUCUCCCAAAGAUUGACAUAGGCCUCUAUCGUUCAUCCGGAAAUUACUAGGAGCCCAUCCAUCAUCGGCGGCUGCUUUUCCCAAAAUCCCCAAAAGUCAGUUUUUUUCCGUUUUCGAUCGAGGAUGAAUGUACACAGGCUUUGCAUUCAGAUCCUAUUGUUACAAAUAUUGCAGGGUAAUAUUUUUACACUAAUCCUUUAGGGUUUCUCCAAUUGGUGUUCGAGUUUAUGGUCAGAGAAUCGAAAGACAAGUUGAAAAUCGAAGAGCCCUCAUUCUUUCUUGUUCAACUUAUUAAUUUCUUCCUUCCUUAAAGUGAAAACGUCCAAAACCAAUACAGAGAAUCGAAAAGAGUUGAGGUAUCCACACACUGAUUGCAAAAAGUUAUGCUCUAAUCUGCGAGGCAAAAAAGACGGAAAUUGUUGAUACUUCGGAUACUUUAUCAAGUAAGGACAUCUUUGUGGCUACAAGAAAAAGAAAACAUGGUCGAGUAUACAAAGGCUCAUAUGAGAAUAUAAUUAGUAAAACUGCUGAAAUGGUGAGAAUACAAUCAACUCAAGAAAGUAAAGAUGGCAGUGAUUAAGUUGGCGCUUUUGCAUCAGUCAUGCGACCUGAGCAUCCAGGUCGCAAAAGAUUGUAUGGUCGAGGAGUUACCAAGACUAUCUUAAAAAAGAAAAUGAGAGAUUCUAGAUCCUCUGUAGAUGCUACUGAUAAGACGAUGCAACAAAAAAUAGAGGAAAUGGAAGAGAGGAUGCAACAAAGAAUGAAGGAAAAGUUCAAUCGUCAGCAGUAACAAUCAAGCUUAUCCAUUUUAAGAGUUGUAUGUUAAUUUCCGUUGGAGGAUACUAACGUAAAGGUGGAGUAGAUGAAAAAAAUAGAAGACCGAGGCAGUGAAGAUCUAGACCUUAAGAAGAAUUUUGAAUUGGUGUAGAUGCAUGGUCUAGGAUUAAUGUUUGUUAUCAACAUUUUGAAACUUGCUUCUGACUCUUGAAAUGUAAAACGUGUGCUAUUGGGGUAGAACAUUUCACUUUUAUGAAUAUUAUUAGCUUGUUGGACAAUUUAGAUUAUGAAUAGUUUUAUUUUGUUAUUUA